CCUACGGGUGGCAGCAGUGAGGAAUAUUGGUCAAUGGGCGUAAGCCUGAACCAGCCAAGUCGCGUGAGGGAUGAAGGUUCUAUGGAUCUUAAACCUCUUUUAUACGGGAAUAAAGUGUGGGACGUGUCCUAUUUUGUAUGUACCUUAUGAAUAAGGAUCGGCUAACUCCGUGCCAGCAGCCGCGGUAAUACGGAGGAUCCGAGCGUUAUCCGGAUUUAUUGGGUUUAAAGGGUGCGUAGGCGGCCUUUUAAGUAAGCGGUGAAAGUCUGUGGCUCAACCAUAGAAUUGCCGUUGAAACUGGGGGGCUUGAGUAUGUUUGAGGAAGGCGGAAUGCGUGGUGUAGCGGUGAAAGGCUUAGAUAUCACGCAGAACCCCGAUUGCGAAGGCAGCCGGCCAAGCCAUGACUGACGCUGAUGCACGAAAGCGUGGGGAUCAAACAGGAUUAGAUACCCCAGUAGUC
rnacentral:rRNA from 1 species